UACGGAGGGUGCAAGCGUUGUCCGGAAUCACUGGGCGUAAAGGGCGCGUAGGCGGCUCGGUAAGUAGGGGGUGAAAUCCUGCGGCUCAACCGCAGGGCUGCCUUCUAAACUGUCGAGCUCGAGCACGGUAGAGGCAGAUGGAAUUCCCGGUGUAGCGGUGGAAUGCGUAGAGAUCGGGAAGAACAUCAGUGGCGAAGGCGGUCUGCUGGGCCGUUGCUGACGCUGAGGCGCGACAGCGUGGGGGAGCAAACAGG
rnacentral:rRNA from 1 species